AUAUUUUAUAUAGCCCAGUUUAUAGUCUGCGAUCUUGCAUGCUAGUUAUACCGACCUAAUUUAUCAAUUCUAUAUAGGAAAAUCAAACCGGCCUAAGUUGCAACAUCAAUCACUCCAUCAUGCUAAGAGACCAAAUGUAAACAAAUAUUUGGGAAUCGUAGAUCAAAUUCCCAUAUAAAAAACCCUUGUCCUCGCAAAACACCUCCUCCCCAUAAUUUCCAGAAGUCUAGCAGCAGAGGAACCAAGGUGGGAGACAUGGAUUGGUCAGUGAGCCGUAGCCGUUGGAGGAAGCGAAGCCAACGGAACAAACCCCUCUUCCUCCUUUCUCUUUCCCUUCUCCUCCUCCUCCUCCUCCUCUUCCUUGCCGUCUUCCUCUCCUCUUACGCCGAGAUCUUUCGAUCUCUCCUCCCCUUCUCCGCCCCUCUCCCCGCCGAAACCCUAGACGCUCGAUCCCCGCAAUGCGGCGCCGGCGGAGCCCCGGCCCUCGCCGGCGAGAGAUUCCUCUGGUACGCUCCCCACAGCGGCUUCAGCAACCAGCUCUCCGAGCUCAAGAACGCCAUUCUCAUGGCUGCCAUCCUCAACCGCACCCUCAUCGUGCCUCCGGUGCUCGACCACCAUGCCGUCGCCCUGGGGAGCUGCCCCAAGUUCAGGGUCGCCAGCCCCACCGAGCUCCGCACCGCGGUGUGGGAUCACAUCAUGGAGCUCGUUAGAGCUCGGAGGUAUGUUUCAAUGGCAGACAUAGUUGAUUUGUCUUUGCUAGCAUCAUCUGUGCUCAAGAUAAUUGAUUUUAGAGUAUUUGCUUCAACAUGGUGUGGUUUAAACAUGGAGCGCACUUGCUUUGCUAGCUUAUGUUGUGCUGUGUCUAGGGUUAGAUCUUUGUCAGGUAACUUUGACCGAUGCAGGUCCUUGCUAUCUGGCUUGCAAGGUAACAUUGAUCAGUGUGUAUAUGCUGUACAAGAUGACUGUAGGACAACAGUAUGGACAUAUCAACAAGACAAUGAUGGGAUUUUGGACUCGUUUCAGCCUGACAAAGAAUUGCAGAAAAGGAAGAAAUUGUCAUACAUUAGGAAGCGUAGAGAUGUAUACAAGGCUUUUGGACCUGGUUCGAAAGCUGAAACAGCCACAAUUUUGGCUUUUGGAAGCCUAUUCACAUCACCAUACAAAAGUUCUGAGCUUUAUAUCGAUAUCCAUGAUGCUCCAAGAGACACACGGAUACAGUCAUUGCUAAAGGAAAUUGAAUUCCUUCCCUUUGUCCCAGAAAUUAUGGCUGCAGGAAAGGAUUAUGCUGUAAACAAGAUAAAGGAGCCUUUUCUCUGUGCCCAACUUAGGUUGCUAGAUGGGCAGUUUAAGAACCACUGGAGGACCACAUUUUCAGCAGUAAAGCAGAAGAUUAAAACCUUAAAUUUGGAACUUCAGGGAAACAAGGUUCGUGGUCCUAUCCAUAUUUUUGUCAUGACGGACCUUCCUAUGGUAAAUUGGACUGGAACUUACUUGGCAGACCUUGCAAAAGAUGCAAGCUCUUACAAACUCUAUACACUACUAGAAAGUGAUGAAUUGGUAGUGCAGGCUGCUAAGAAACUUAUGGCAGCAGAGCAUGGGCUAAGGUCUGGUUACCUUCCAAGGAAUCAAGAGGGAACGGAUAAGAACAAAGCUUGUGAACCAGUGGCAUUACCAGAAAUUCUAUUAUACAUAGAGGCAGCUGUUUGCAGUUGUGCUUCCUUGGGUUUUGUAGGGACUGCUGGAUCAACAAUAGCAGAAAUCAUAGAAGUGAUGAGAAAAAAUAAUGUCUGCAAAUUGUAGACCAAUUGUACCUUUCACCGUUGCAGCUGGAUAUAUACCACAUCUAACAAAAGUGCUCAUCUCUGUUUCCACAAAGAAUAUAUCAAAAGAAAUCCAAAGUCUAAUGGUACAUGAAGUCAAAGAUCGAUUCAGGAACAAGAAUUUGAAUAUUUGAAACUGGGUACAAUUAAUGUUGACUUCCUGCCAACAAUUUUCUCUUGGUCUUUGAAACAUCAGAGAAUGGCAUAAAACAUACGUUAUUCACACCUGCAAUUUAUGCAACUAAUAAAGAGGAAGCCGUGCAGCUUUGGAUUUUAUUUUUGGGUACUCACACGGUCUGGCAUCUCAUAAAAAUCAUUGAAGGAUUUGACAAGAAAAGGAGCUUCAACUUGUUGUAUGCUGAUGCUAUAAUUUUCUUGGGAGAGAAGGCCACGGGCACACUGUGGGAAACAUUUCUCAGGACUUGAACCCAAGACUUGCUGUAUACAAGUGGAAGAAAUGACUGCUGAGCGAGGACUCGGAUGAUAAGCAAGUCCCAGUUCACCAACUUACGCUAUAAUGUUUAGCCAACCCUAAAAUGAUUAUAUCCAUGAUUUUGAACGGCCAGCUUCUGUCCAACAAGUACACAGAUGGUAAAUGCUUGUUCCACUACAUGUUUUCCUGAAACUAGGAGUUAGAGAAGGGAUGAUGCAAGUUGAUUUGGAUUCAUGUACUUCUUUUUAUGGGUUUUGAUAUAUGAUACGGUAGGUUAGUUGCUGUUACAGUGUUACGGUACUGCUUUUAGCUAAUCUUAUCUAAUGGAAAGUCCAUUUGAGUUAUACU